rnacentral:rRNA from 1 species
AUUGAACGCUGGCGGCAUGCCUUACACAUGCAAGUCGAACGGCAGCACGGGAGCAAUCCUGGUGGCGAGUGGCGAACGGGUGAGUAAAGUAUCGGAACGUGCCCAGUCGUGGGGGAUAACGUAGCGAAAGUUACGCUAAUACCGCAUACGAUCUAUGGAUGAAAGCGGGGGAUCGCAAGACCUCGCGCGAUUGGAGCGGCCGAUAUCAGAUUAGGUAGUUGGUGGGGUAAAGGCUCACCAAGCCGACGAUCUGUAGCUGGUCUGAGAGGACGACCAGCCACACUGGGACUGAGACACGGACCAGACUCCUACGGGAGGCAGCAGUGGGGAAUUUUGGACAAUGGGCGAAAGCCUGAUCCAGCCAUGCCGCGUGCAGGAUGAAGGCCUUCGGGUUGUAAACUGCUUUUGUACGGAACGAAAAGGUUUGGCCUAAUAAGCUGAGCUCAUGACGGUACCGUAGGAAUAAGCACUGGCUAACUACGUGCCAGCAGCAGCCGCGGUAA